rnacentral:sRNA from 1 species
CAGCUCCGCAGAUUACCACCUUAUUGGCCGCCUUUCUCAGCUUGUCUGUAGUUACCCAUAUUUUGUUCCUCUUUCUUGUCUAUUUUAUGUGUUUCUCUGCCUUCCCUCUCGCUGUUUUCUCACGUCUCCAUUUUCUUCCUCCUUCCUGCCACCAUUCUUGAUGUUCUUCCGACAGGACUUGAACUGCCAUGUCCUCUGAAGAAGGAAAGCUCUUCGUGGGAGGGCUCAACUUUAACACCGACGAGCAGGCACUGGAAGACCACUUCAGCAGUUUCGGACCUAUCUCUGAGGUGGUCGUUGUCAAGGACCGGGAGACUCAGCGGUCCAGGGGUUUUGGUUUCAUCACCUUCACCAACCCAGAGCAUGCUUCAGUUGCCAUGAGAGCCAUGAACGGAGAGGUGGGGCCUCCUAUCUGCAGAGGGACCUUGCCCCCAUCUGCGGCUUCCUUCAUUCUUUUUGUUUUUCCCUCUGUGUCUGCUCGGGGCAGCGUGGCCACCAAGCCCCGCAGUGCCCACUCACAGGAGCAUGACUGCCUUUUGUUCUAGGGGGUGGAGGGCAGCGGCAGACAGAGCCUGGCCGCCUGGGAGGCGACGACUGGUCCUGCAUGAGGCCGAGAAGCCACCUGUGGAUGGUUGACCUGCCUUGGGCUUAGGUAGUAGAGUCUGCAGACCUGUGGGCCUGGCCCGGAGAGGACCUCGUGAGUCUUCUGACAUGGACUCUGAAGCC